GAUGAACGCUGGCGGCGUGCCUAAUACAUGCAAGUCGAGCGAACGGACGAGAAGCUUGCUUCUCUGAUGUUAGCGGCGGACGGGUGAGUAACACGUGGAUAACCUACCUAUAAGACUGGGAUAACUUCGGGAAACCGUAGCUAAUACCGGAUAAUAUUUUGAACCGCAUGGUUCAAAAGUGAAAGACGGUCUUGCUGUCACUUAUAGAUGGAUCCGCGCUGCAUUAGCUAGUUGGUAAGGUAACGGCUUACCAAGGCAACGAUGCAUAGCCGACCUGAGAGGGUGAUCGGCCACACUGGAACUGAGCCACGGUCAAGACUCCUACGGGAGGCAGCAGUAGGGAAUCUUCCGCAAUGGGCGAAAGCCUGACGGAGCAACGCCGCGUGAGUGAUGAAGGUCUUCGGAUCGUAAAACUCUGUUAUUAGGGAAGAACAUAUGUGUAAGUAACUGUGCACAUCUUGACGGUACCUAAUCAGAAAGCCACGGCUAACUACGUG
rnacentral:rRNA from 1 species